UGGGGAAUAUUGGACAAUGGGCCCAAGCCUGAUCCAGCCAUGCCGCGUGAGUGAUGAAGGCCCUAGGGUUGUAAAGCUCUUUCACCGGUGAAGAUAAUGACGGUAACCGGAGAAGAAGCCCCGGCUAACUUCGUGCCAGCAGCCGCGGUAAUACGAAGGGGGCUAGCGUUGUUCGGAUUUACUGGGCGUAAAGCGCACGUAGGCGGACUUUUAAGUCAGGGGUGAAAUCCCGGGGCUCAACCCCGGAACUGCCUUUGAUACUGGAAGUCUUGAGUAUGGUAGAGGUGAGUGGAAUUCCGAGUGUAGAGGUGAAAUUCGUAGAUAUUCGGAGGAACACCAGUGGCGAAGGCGGCUCACUGGACCAUUACUGACGCUGAGGUGCGAAAGCGUGGGGAGCAAACAGG
rnacentral:rRNA from 1 species